AACUUACCAGGUCAAGACAUGGGCGUGAUUGACAGGCUAAUGACUUUUCUCGAUUCCAUGGAUGGUGGUGCAUGGUCGCACUUAGUUGGUGCAGUGAUUUGUCAGGUUUAUUCCGGUAACGAACGAGACCUCGGCCUUGUAAAUAGCUAUGCUGCUUACAGGGACAUUGGCGGCUACGCCAAGGAAGCUCGAGGCAAUUGCAGAUCUGGAAUGCCCUUAGAUGUCCUGGGUCGCACGCGUGCUACAAUGACGCCACGAACGAGCUUGCGUGAUGAAAGUUACGCAUAAUCAGCAGUCGGCGUCUUAAGGGAUAGUCUCUUGUAGCUGUGGGACUCCAACUAGGAAUGUCUCGUAAGCACAAGUCAACAUCUUGUGUUGAUUACGUCCCUGCUCUUUGUACACACCGCCCGUCGCUCCUACCGAUCGAGUGUUUAGGUGAAUUUGAUGGACGUAAGGAAGUCAAAUAAACCUGAGCACUAGAGAAGAGAAGUCGAGCAUCU
rnacentral:rRNA from 1 species